UUAAUAUUAAUAGUUAUGUUCUUUAAAUUAAAAGAAUUUGGCGGUUAUUUAAUCUUUCUAGAGGAACCUGUCCUGUAAUUGAUAAUCCACGAUUGAUUUUACUUUAAUUAUGCUUAUAUAUCGCUGUCAUUGAAUGUUUUAUAAGAUUAUUUUCUUUUAUUUUUAUGAAUAUAAUGUUAGGUCAAGAUGUAGCUAUAUUAAAGAAGAGAUGGGUUACAUUUAUUUUAUUAAUGGAUUGGAAUUUGAAAUUUUUUCAUUAAAUUGGAUUUAGGUGUAAUUUUUAUAAAAUAAUAAUUUUGAUUUUAGUUCUAAAUAAUGUACACAUCGCCCGUCACUCCCAUUAUGAGUUGGGAUAAGUCGUAACAAAGUAGGCCUACCGGAAGGUGGGCCUGGUUAGUU
rnacentral:rRNA from 1 species